rnacentral:rRNA from 1 species
AAAAAAAAACGACAGUUCGUAGGUGGAAUAGGUUCGCUACCGCAUUGUAACCUGCGGAAGGAUCAUUA